rnacentral:rRNA from 1 species
ACAUGCCUACAACAUAGCGUUAAUGCACCGGAUCCCAUUAGAACUUCGUAGUUAAGCGCGCUCAAGCUAGAGCAAUAUUGGGAUGGGUGACCACCUGGGAAGUCCUAGUGUUUUACAUGCU